UGCACUCAAUUGGAAAGAGGAGUGGCGGACGGGUGAGUAACACGUGGGUAACCUACCCAUCAGAGGGGGAUAACACUUGGAAACAGGUGCUAAUACCGCAUAACAGUUUAUGCCGCAUGGCAUAAGAGUGAAAGGCGCUUUCGGGUGUCGCUGAUGGAUGGACCCGCGGUGCAUUAGCUAGUUGGUGAGGUAACGGCUCACCAAGGCCACGAUGCAUAGCCGACCUGAGAGGGUGAUCGGCCACACUGGGACUGAGACACGGCCCAGACUCCUACGGGAGGCAGCAGUAGGGAAUCUUCGGCAAUGGACGAAAGUCUGACCGAGCAACGCCGCGUGAGUGAAGAAGGUUUUCGGAUCGUAAAACUCUGUUGUUAGAGAAGAACAAGGACGUUAGUAACUGAACGUCCCCUGACGGUAUCUAACCAGAAAGCCACGGCUAACUACGUGCCAGCAGCCGCGGUAAUACGUAGGUGGCAAGCGUUGUCCGGAUUUAUUGGGCGUAAAGCGAGCGCAGGCGGUUUCUUAAGUCUGAUGUGAAAGCCCCCGGCUCAACCGGGGAGGGUCAUUGGAAACUGGGA
rnacentral:rRNA from 1 species